GAUGAACGUUGGCGGCGUGCCUAAUACAUGCAAGUCGUACGGAAAGGCCCUUCGGGGUACUCGAGUGGCGGACGGCUGAGUAACGCGUGGGAACGUGCCCCAAAGUGAGGGAUAACGCACCGAAAGGUGUGCUAAUACCGCAUAUGGUCUUCGGAUUAAAGCUUCGGCGCUUUGGGAGCGGCCCGCGUACGAUUAGAUAGUUGGUGAGGUAAUGGCUCACCAAGUCGACGAUCGUUAGCUGGUCUGAGAGGAUGAUCAGCCAGACUGGGACUGUGACACGGCCCAGACUCCUACGGGAGGCAGCAGUAAGGAAUCUUCCACAAUGGGGGCAACCUUGAUGGAGCAACGCCGCGUGCAGGAUGAAGGUUUUCGGAUCGUAAACUGCUUUUAUAAGUGAAGAAUAUGACGGUAACUUAUGAAUAAGGAUCGGCUAACUACGUGCCAGCAGCCGCGGUAAAAC
rnacentral:rRNA from 1 species